GGGGCUGUAGUUCAGUGGUAGAGCGCUUGCCUUGUAUGUAUGAGGCAUUGAGUUUGAUCCUCAGCACCACA
rnacentral:tRNA from 1 species